rnacentral:rRNA from 1 species
UACGGGGGGGGGCAAGCGUUGUUCGGAAUUACUGGGCGUAAAGCGUGCGCAGGCGGUUAUGCAAGACAGAUGUGAAAUCCCCGGGCUCAACCUGGGAACUGCAUUUGUGACUGCAUGGCUAGAGUACGGUAGAGGGGGAUGGAAUUCCGCGUGUAGCAGUGAAAUGCGUAGAUAUGCGGAGGAACACCGAUGGCGAAGGCAAUCCCCUGGACCUGUACUGACGCUCAUGCACGAAAGCGUGGGGAGCAAACAGG